CCUACGGGUGGCAGCAGUGAGGAAUAUUGGUCAAUGGACGAGAGUCUGAACCAGCCAAGUAGCGUGAAGGAUGACUGCCCUAUGGGUUGUAAACUUCUUUUAUAUGGGAAUAAAAUGUUCCACGUGUGGGAUUUUGUAUGUACCAUAUGAAUAAGGAUCGGCUAACUUCGGGCCAGCAGCCGCGGUAAUACGGAGGAUCCGAGCGUUAUCCGGAUUUAUUGGGUUUAAAGGGAGCGUAGGUGGAUUGUUAAGUCAGUUGUGAAAGUUUGCGGCUCAACCGUAAAAUUGCAGUUGAAACUGGCAGUCGUGAGUACAGUAGAGGUGGGCGGAAUUCGUGGUGUAGCGGUGAAAUGCUGAGAUAUCACGAAGAACUCCGAUUGCGAAGGCAGCUCACUGGACUGCAACUGACGCUGAGGCUCGAAAGUGUGGGUAUCAAACAGGAUUAGAUACCCUAGUAGUC
rnacentral:rRNA from 1 species